CAUCCUCCAAGGCUAAAUACUCCUGACUGACCGAUAGUGAACCAGUACCGUGAGGGAAAGGCGAAAAGAACCCCGGCGAGGGGAGUGAAAAAGAACCUGAAACCGUGUACGUACAAGCAGUGGGAGCCCCACCACCAAAGCAUUCUCUGGUGUUGAAGGCCCUGCAAAGCAGCAUCGCGGUGGCGGAGCGUCGUUUGCGACGCCCAACACACAAAACAAGCGGUGAGUGCUUUGGGGUGGGGUGACUGCGUACCUUUUGUAUAAUGGGUCAGCGACUUAUAUUCUGUAGCAAGGUUAACCGUAUAGGGGAGCCGUAGGGAAACCGAGUCUUAACCGGGCGUUAAGUUGCAGGGUAUAGACCCGAAACCCGGUGAUCUAGCCAUGGGCAGGUUGAAGGUUGGGUAACACUAACUGGAGGACCGAACCGACUAAUGUUGAAAAAUUAGCGGAUGACUUGUGGCUGGGGGUGAAAGGCCAAUCAAACCGGGAGAUAGCUGGUUCUCCCCGAAAGCUAUUUAGGUAGCGCCUCGUGAACUCAUCUUCGGGGGUAGAGCACUGUUUCGGCUAGGGGGUCAUCCCGACUUACCAACCCGAUGCAAACUGCGAAUACCGAAGAAUGUUAUCACGGGAGACACACGGCGGGUGCUAACGUCCGUCGUGAAGAGGGAAACAACCCAGACCGCCAGCUAAGGUCCCAAAGUCACAGUUAAGUGGGAAACGAUGUGGGAAGGCUCAGACAGCCAGGAUGUUGGCUUAGAAGCAGCCAUCAUUUAAAGAAAGCGUAAUAGCUCACUGGUCGAGUCGGCCUGCGCGGAAGAUGUAACGGGGCUAAACUGUGCACCGAAGCUGCGGCAGCGACGCUUAUGCGUUGUUGGGUAGGGGAGCGUUCUGUAAGCCUGCGAAGGUGUCCUGUGAGGGAUGCUGGAGGUAUCAGAAGUGCGAAUGCUGACAUAAGUAACGAUAAUGCGGGUGAAAAGCCCGCUCGCCGGAAGACCAAGGGUUCCUGUCCAACGUUAAUCGGGGCAGGGUGAGUCGACCCCUAAGGCGAGGCCGAAAGGCGUAGUCGAUGGGAAACGGGUUAAUAUUCCCGUA
rnacentral:rRNA from 1 species